GAGAUGAGCGCCUGAUGUGAU
rnacentral:miRNA from 1 species